CCUACGGGCGGCAGCAGUGAGGAAUAUUGGUCAAUGGUCGGGAGACUGAACCAGCCAAGCCGCGUGAGGGAUGAAGGUACAGAGUAUCGUAAACCUCUUUUGUCAGGGAACAAAGGCGGGGACGUGUCCCCGGAUGAGUGUACCUGAAGAAAAAGCAUCGGCUAACUCCGUGCCAGCAGCCGCGGUAAUACGGAGGAUGCGAGCGUUAUCCGGAUUUAUUGGGUUUAAAGGGUGCGCAGGCGGCCUGUUAAGUCAGCGGUAAAAGCCCGGGGCUCAACCCCGGCCAGCCGUUGAAACUGGCAGUCUCGAGUUGGAGAGAAGUAUGCGGAAUGCGCGGUGUAGCGGUGAAAUGCAUAGAUAUCGCGCAGAACUCCGAUUGCGAAGGCAGCAUGCCGGCUCCACACUGACGCUGAGGCACGAAAGCGUGGGUAUCGAACAGGAUUAGAUACCCCAGUAGUC
rnacentral:rRNA from 1 species